CCCAGCAGGUCUGGUUUCUAAGUCAGACCUAGUCUGGUUCCUGCCGGUUUCUGGACCCCGUCUGGGAGAAGAAAUGCUCAAAUCAAGUCUGAAAGCUCCGAAUGGAAAGCUGGGGAGCUAGGAUCCAGGCUGCGAGAGGGACUUACCCGCCUCCUCCAGAGACAGCGAGGACGCAUUGGCUCCAGGAGCUAGCAGAAAAUGGUGGAGCUCAGCGUUCGCCAAGCACUAGGCUAGCUUUCGUACGGUGCGGCUCCUCCAGCACACAUCUGCUCCUAGAGGAAGGAUUACUCCAUGCCUCUCCAAAUCCAGCCCUCCAUUGAAAGCCUGGCUCUACCCAUCCUCUUACAGAUGAAGAAGCUGUAGCUCAUAGAGACUAAUCUAUGAAACAUUAACAAUUGGCGAGAGAGCUGGGAUUCGGACUUCCUGAUUGCAGACCUACUGCUUUAAUCCACCCUGUACUGACUCAUUCACUCAUCACUCAUCUCUAAUUGUGAAGUAUGCUUCUGUUUAU